rnacentral:rRNA from 1 species
AGUGAACGCUGGCGGCGUGCUUAACACAUGCAAGUCGAACGAGAACGGGUUAUAGCUUGCUAUAGUUGUCAGCUAAGUGGCGCACGGGUGAGUAAUAUAUAGGGUAAUGUGCCCUAGAGAGGGGGAUAACAUUUGGAAACGAAUGCUAACACCCCAUAUGCCCCUUAAGACAUAAGUCUGCAGGGGAAAUAUUUAUAGCUCUAGGAUCGGCCUGUACGGUAUCAGCUUGUUGGUGAGGUAUGGCUCACCAAGGCUAUGACGCCUAACUGGUUUGAGAGGAUGAUCAGUCACACUGGAACUGAGACACGGUCCA